UCAUAGGCAAAGUAAUCGAAAGGUUAUGACGCAAAGCUAUAGGGGCUUUUAAAUGCCAGCCAGUUGCAA
rnacentral:ncRNA from 1 species